rnacentral:lncRNA from 1 species
GUGGAUAAACUCUGUUUAAUCUGCUUGUCGUAUCUCUCCUCUUCAUAGAUCUCCUCUGGAUCCAUCAACGACCGAUAUGUCAUAGACUCUGACAUUUUGGCAUCCAAUGGGGUCAUCCAUGUUCUGCAGGGCCCAUUGAAAGCACCUCCUCCUCAACCUCCAUCCAUCCACGUGGCUCAUAAGGCUUGGGUGGCAUCGGCAUUCUGGGGCUCAUCAUCCUCAUCGUAGCAGCUGCAUUUGUGGGAUACAAUUUCUACACACAUAAAACAAAGCCAUUCCAAGUUCCAUUUAUUCAAGGUAUCCUUGUUUGUGUUCAUGUUUCAACAUUAGGGCCUCAAAGUUCACUAUUCAUGUUUCAACAUUAGGGCCGUCAAAGUUCACUAUUAGUGGAUAAAUAGGUUUAUUAUUUAUCAGUUUAUUAAGAAUCAAAACCCAGGCAGAAAGUUUAACAAAAUUAUUCUGCUGAACGUCAUGCACACAAAUUGCCGAAUGCAAGAAUUACAGAAAUUAUGUGAAAUUAUUUUAAUCGAUUGACAGGCCUAUUACAUACACAUUUUUGAUUGUUUAUACAUAAUCAUUUUAUUCUAUUGUUAGGAGGAUGAGGAUGUGAAUCUAUCAGAAUCAAAUCCAAACAUCAGUAAUCCUGUAUAUGACUCUUUACCUGCCACAAAAGAACAAACUCCAACCGUCAGCGAAUCAAACGAAGAAGACAAGCAUCAGGUGAUUUCCAGUGGAUCCUAUGGCCUCCUUCAGGACAGCUGAAAUCAGCAUGUCAUGCAUAAGCUAUGGAAUAACUUCAAUCUUCUCUGUAGCAGAGCAGUGGGACAUUCUGCUGCAGUUCUCUUUGAGAAUACAAGAGGAAGCUGUGAACUCCAUGUCACAGUGAUGGGACAGUGGAACAAUAACGCUAGACUGAGAAACCAAUCUGAAUCUACUGAAGUUGUUUGUGCACUCUACAAAACACAGGAAUUAAAACUAGAAAUUUGAAUGAGACACUGUGGAAGAAGGUUCAGAGGUAAUAAUAAAGUGAAGUGCUCCACGAGGCGGCAGAAGCACUUUCAGCGUCUUUUAGAGCUUAGAUUCUCUGCCCGAGCCCGAGCCCGGACUCGACCCGACCCGACCCGCGGGCCGGGUCGGGCCGAUAUUUCCCGCAACCGUCCUCGGGCCGGGUCGGGUCGGGCCCUUGAUAAAGCACAUCACGUGUCAUGCGCAGCGUCUCGUCCACUCGCAUUCGCAGUCUCGCACGCGUGA